CGGACGGGUGAGUAAUGUCUGGGAAACUGCCCGAUAGAGGGGGAUAACUACUGGAAACGGUAGCUAAUACCGCAUAACGUCGCAAGACCAAAGAGGGGGACCUUCGGGCCUCUUGCCAUCGGAUGUGCCCAGAUGGGAUUAGCUAGUAGGUGGGGUAACGGCUCACCUAGGCGACGAUCCCUAGCUGGUCUGAGAGGAUGACCAGCCACACUGGAACUGAGACACGGUCCAG
rnacentral:rRNA from 1 species